UGAGGUCACUCUUAGUUGAUGGUAUGU
rnacentral:piRNA from 1 species